CACUGGGGCACUUGGCAGCGCGGGGAGCUCGUCGGCGCCGGCGGGCGGGCCAGUUUCGAAGUUGAUGCAAUCGGUUUAAACAUGGCUGAACGCGUGUGUACACGGGACUGACGCAACCCACGUGUAACUGUCAGCCGGGCCCUGAGUAAUCGCUUAAAGAUGUUCCUACGGGCUUGUUGCUGUUGAUGUUGUGUUGUUGUUGUUGUUUUUUGGUCUUUUUUUUGUAUUAUAAAAAAUAAUCUAUUUCUAUGAGAAAAGAGGCGUCUGUAUAUUUGGGAAUCUUUUCCGUUUCAAGCAUUAAGAACACUUUUAAUAAACUUUUUUUUUUUUUGAGAAUGG